rnacentral:rRNA from 1 species
AGAGUUUGAUCAUGGCUCAGGAUGAACGCUGGCGGCGUGCCUAAUACAUGCAAGUCGAACGCAUUACUUCGGUAGUGAGUGGCGAACGGGUGAGUAACACGUAGGUAACUUACCUCUAAGACGAGGAUAACGACUGGAAACGGUCGCUAAAACUGGAUAGGAUCAUUUGAGGCAUCUCGAAUGAUUUAAAGGGGCUUUCAAGCCACACUUAGAGAAAGGCCUGCGGCGCAUUAGCUAGUUGGUGGGGUAGAGGCCUACCAAGGCGAUGAUGCGUAGCCGGACUGAGAGGUCGAACGGCCACAUUGGGACUGAGACACGGCCCAAACUCCUACGGGAGGCAGCAGUAGGGAAUUUUCCGCAAUGGACGAAAGUCUGACGGAGCAACGCCGCGUGAGUGAAGAAGGUUUUUCCGGAUCGUAAAACUCUGUUGUCAGAGAAGAACAAGUUGGAGAGUAACUGCUCCAGCCUUGACGGUAUCUGACCAGAAAGCCACGGCUAACUACGUGCCAGCAGCGGC